GUGGGGGGCAUUGGCAGUUGAAUGUGACCGGAACAAGGUCGGCGGUGAGCUGGACCCCUCUUCCCAAACAUGUCUGCAUUUAUCUAGCAGCUGGAGAGAGAGAGAAUGAAGUCAAGAUCAUCUUCACCUCCCAACUAUGCCCAUCUUAAUAAAUCUGCACCUGUUCACGUUCAUCUUCAAAAGCCCAAGUUAUUGCCUUCUGUUGUGGAAGUACAUUUCCUUCCAGUUAUCUCGCAUGCAAAAAAGAAAUCGCUCAACUCAUUCAACGAGAGCGAACAGAACUGUGAAGGGGAAAGCUAAGGGUUGUAGGGACCCCCAUACUUCAACCUUUGGCCAAAAUUACAAA